AACGAACGCUGGCGGCAGGCCUAACACAUGCAAGUCGAACGCCCCGCAAGGGGAGUGGCAGACGGGUGAGUAACGCGUGGGAAUCUACCCAGAUCUUCGGAACAACUGAGGGAAACUUCAGCUAAUACCGGAUACGCCCUACGGGGGAAAGAUUUAUCGGUUCUGGAUGAGCCCGCGUUGGAUUAGCUAGUUGGUGAGGUAACGGCUCACCAAGGCGACGAUCCAUAGCUGGUCUGAGAGGAUGAUCAGCCACACUGGGACUGAGACACGGCCCAGACUCCUACGGGAGGCAGCAGUGGGGAAUAUUGGACAAUGGGCGAAAGCCUGAUCCAGCCAUGCCGCGUGAGUGAUGAAGGCCUUAGGGUUGUAAAGCUCUUUCAGUGGGGAAGAUAAUGACGGUACCCGGAGAAGAAGCCCCGGCUAACUUCGUGCCAGCCGCCGCGGUAAUAC
rnacentral:rRNA from 1 species